rnacentral:rRNA from 1 species
AGGACGAACGCUGGCGGCGUGCUUAACACAUGCAAGUCGAACGCGCCUGCUUUUGGGUGGGUGAGUGGCGAACGGGUGAGUAACACGUGGGUGACCUGCCCUCAGCUCCGGGAUAAGCUUGGGAAACUGGGUCUAAUACCGGAUAUGACUGGCUCUCGCAUGGGGGUUGGUGGAAAGUGCAGUUGAUUGUGACUGUUUCGGCUGGGGAUGGGCCCGCGGCCUAUCAGCUUGUUGGUGGGGUGAUGGCUUACCAAGGCGACGACGGGUA